UAGACAAGAAAAGCUCUAAUAGGAAACUGUAGCUUGGGGGGGGGUUCUGGGAGGAAAAGGACACACACACACACACACACACACACACACACACACACACACACGAUGCACAGCCCACCUGGCACAUAUUUCUUUAGCUUUAUUCUUUCAGCUCACUGUAGAAUAAAGGAAAAAGGAAGAAGCAUAUUCAGAGGUGUGUGUGUGUGUGUGUGUGUGUGUGUGUGUGUGUGUGUGUGUGUGUGUGGUGCACCUCAAUGCCAGCCUAUGAACCAAUGGCAAAUGGGUGACAAUCUCAAAAUUGCAAGCUUGUAACUAUAGCAGUGUCCAGAAUGCCUGUUCUCUGCCUUACGGGUUCAUACUUUAUUUUAGUGAUCCUCUUGUCUUUGGUCAGUCAAUUAUAUCGGUACAUGGAACAUCACAGUCUGAUACGACUUUUAUGAAUAAGAAGGACAUCUUUGACAAAACGGCUUUUAAGUAGCACUAGGAACACCUGUCAUUUGAAGGAUCUGAGGUUUACAGAAGUCCCCAUCUGUAGUUACAUGUGAUGUGGCAGCCACAAGCUCAGCUCACUGAGAGAGAGGAUAGCUUUUGUCACUUCCCUUGAACCUGACUGGUCAGGACUUCCAUUUGCCAGGUGGGGAACUUGCUCUGGGUCAGUUCAGGAUUUCCCCAUCUCCCAUAUAAUGCAGGAGUGAUGACAUCAGACAGGACUGGGUCCCGGCUGAUAGCCAAUAUUCAUGACGAUUCAGAGUUCUCCAGCAUUCUAAGCUCAGGACACCCAGGCAGCCAUCAGCUCAAGGGCCUUGUAGUAAUGACCUGGGCUGAACAGAGUAUCUCACAGCCACUUACUUUUCUGGGCAGCUCUCACACAUGCAUGAUCCACGCAGGAGAAGAAAGACCCACACAUGCAUUCCCACUUUGGAACAACACUUUAGGACCACUGUGGUGACGUCUGAGGCCUCCCUGUGGUCCACAGAGGCCUUCCUUGAUACCACUCCAUAGCUCAAGUCUGUCUCCUACCCAGCUCUACUCUAGGAUUGGAUGUUUUAACCAGAGGUUGUGUCCUGGCCCUGUGCAGAGGUGGAAGUCCUUCUACCACACCCCCUGUGAACUUGCUGGGUGUUAAUGAACAGACAGAUGCAGUUAGUUCAGAAUGGACACUCCGGAGACACACUGUGCAUUACUAAGCCAAUUCUGAUGUCAUUAGAGGUAGCAUUUAUGGACCAGAUAUCUCUGCCUCUGUACCUCAACUUUCUCAUCUGUAAAAAAGUGGUGAUAAUACUAUUCCCAUCACACCAAAAAGGGGAGAAAAAAGGAAAGAGAUGAGAGCAUGCAUUAAACAGUCUAGCAUGAACGUUCUGAGUGAAUGCUGGUUGUUCUAUAACGUACACAAGCCUUUGUGCUUUCUACGGGGUGUCCUGACCAGUUUUAACAUGACACAACUUAGAGUCGUCCAAGAGAAGAGCUUCAAUGGAGGAGUUGCCUAGAUCAGACAGGUUGGUGGGGAAUAUGUUGACUAUUACUUGAUGUAAGAAAGCCCAGCCCAUGGUGGGUGGUACCCUCCUUAGGAAGAUGGUCAGGGUUAGGGUCAGAGUACAUGACAGGUGCCCACAAGCCAACCAGCAGGCAGCACUCCCUACAGCCCCUGAUGCACUUCGUGGAUGGGAAGGGAUUUAAUGCUGUGUGGAAUGGCCCGUAGACCUGCCUUCGAGUUCCUGCCUUGAUGCCUUCAGCGAUGCACUGUGACUUGGAGUUGUAAGUAAACCUGAAUUGCUUAUGGUCGGGCAGUUUUAUCACAGCAACAAAAAUGAAAUGUGAACAGAGGGCGAAACUUGAGAAAUUCAACUGCCCUGAAAAGACCUCACGUGUCCCCUCCGUCUUUGCUUCUGAGACAAUGAAAUUGAAACAGCCUCAGAGACCAUGUAAAAGGAAGAUCAAGCAAGGGGCAAAAACAUUAUCCUGUUAUCCAGACCGAGAUCUUUUUGCAUUGAGAUCUGCCAAGUGCUUCUAGUCAAACUUCAAGCUCUGAAGCUUUCACUUAGGCUACGCCAAAUCGGGAGAAAUAGGAAGGUGGGAGAAAGGACUGCUCUGGACGAAUCAAAACAACACUCCACAGGAAGCAAGAACACCGGGAAACCAGACAAAGUCCACCGAUUUAUUAAAAGAACCUCUUGUUUCCACAACAUUCUAUGGAGUUAAGUCCAGGCUGAAAAGGAAGGCCCAUCCUCCCAGUAUGGCACAAAUGUGAACAAGCAGCCUCAAGGUCCUGAUGCCGCAGCUCCGAGCUUCCAAGAUGUCUGCCGUGAUUCCUCGGCCAUGACGAGUUGCAGCCUCCGAAAGCCUGAACUGAACCACAGUCUUCCUCUUUAGCGUUCCUUCGGCCGGGUAUUUGCUAUGGCAACCAGAGAAGUUUCCAGAACCUCAUGAGCCUUCCAACCUCGAAGUUCCCUGUAAGCAUAGAGGAGUAUUAACAACGCUUUAAAACCCGGCACGGAUUCCUGUUCCAGGCAAAAACUUGGCAAUUUCUUCUCAUGAAUCAUCUUCCAGUGGUGCUAUUCCACACCAGCAGAAGAAUUAUGUGAGGCCACAGUCUUGGCUGGCCUGUUCUCAAAGAAAACACACAGCCCCAAAUUCCAUGUGGUGUUUGAAUUGGCCCUCAGAUCCUGCACCCGGUCGGCCCGUGAAGCCGAGUGAAGACGGACUCUCAUGCGAAUGCUGUGGGGAUGUCUGUCUAGACUCAGCAGAAGGGAUGGCGCUGCCUAGAUGAUUGCAUCAUAAUACCCACCCCCAGAAUUCUGCUGUGCCCAUUCAUGGAGUGGAACAUGAGCCGAGCCUGUCCCACUUUUAACAAUUCAGCCAUCCAGCUAUUGUCUUCCCAGGUCUACUGCACACCAGAGGAAAGAAAGAGACAUCUAAGAGGUCGCAGUCAGCCAAGGGACACUGGGAAAAUACAGUAUGGACAAGUGGUGUCCCCAAGGCCAUGAGGAUUAGAAUGUGGAAAAUACCCAUCAACCUAACUCAGAUAAACACGGAAAAGGGGGCAUGACGCAGUCUCCAGCUUCAAGCCCUUUAUGUACACAUAGAAAAUACACAUCAGAACACACACACACACACACACACACACACAUGCACGCACACACACGCACACACACACAUUGAUCGUGCCAUGCUUUGCAGGACUUCGAUAAAGUUCAGACAAAGGAAAAUGGAAGACCAGCUACCUCAAAUGCCAUUCUCAGACUGGGUUCGGGGACACAUAAUUGUGAAUCCCAGAAUUCAGGAGGCCAAGGCAGGAGGCUCAGGAGACCGGGACCAGCCUGGUCUGCAUAGUGCAGCACCACUGAAGCAACAACAACCGAAGAUUCCCAUCACAGACAGGUAUGCACAAAAACCGUUUCCCUCUUCUUAAAUGACCUCAUCUCUUCACACAGCUUCCAAAAGGAGAGAAGCUUCCAUAUCACUUGUCACCAUCACAAAACGUAUGAAAACGAGAUGGGGCGCGGUAAGUUAUUUUGGCCCACGGGCUUCAAGUUGAAGUUGUGUAUUUCCCUAAGGGGACAAAAAUAGAACAUUUAUUAAAUGGCGAGUUAUUCGAAAACCAGCACAGGCCCCAGUUGUCUUUCAAAAGCUCUGAUUUACUGCAUAUGUCUCCCUUGAGGAAAGCCUUUUUUAAAAUGUUCAUUUCCAUUUUAAGAGACUCUGGGAUCUGAUCUGUUGGGAGGGUUCUCGCUGUCUCCCUGACUGGGGCUCCUCCGUACUUGAGGCAGAAUUGGGGCCUUGCUCUCAGGACCUGUAUCUCUCCAUAGCUUCCGCCUGGCGUCUGAACAUCAACACCUGAAAAUGCAUUGUCAUUCUAAUUAAUCUGAAGGUCCCACCAUCGGGUGACAUCUUUACACCCCAGUAAAAAGCCUGGAACAGUAGCUAAAAGGCAGAUGAGAUGUACUUUGGCGUUCUAACACCCCAAAGCCUGUGCCAGGUCAUUCCUUUCUAUGUUAAUCCAAAAUUUCAUAAUAAAUUGAAUCUUGUUGCUAAAGUAAACAUACAGUCAUAGAAAUCUUAGACUGUCUUUUGCAUCAGAAAACAUUCCAACCUAUGUUUUACUCUGUUUGGGUAACAGUGACACCUGUGGGGAACCAGCUGGUUAGAGCUGUUGAGUUCUAGACAAGUUGA
rnacentral:sRNA from 1 species